rnacentral:rRNA from 1 species
GCCCAGAGUUUGAUCUGGCUCAGAUUGAACGCUGGCGGCGUGCCUAAUACAUGCAAGUCGAGCGCAGGAAACCGGCGGAACCCUUCGGGGGGAAGGCGGUGGAAUGAGCGGCGGACGGGUGAGUAACACGUGGGCAACCUGGGGCUAGAGCGGCCGCCACCGCGGUGGAGCUCCAGCUUUUGUUCCCUUUAGUGAGGGUUAAUUGCGCGCUUGGCGUAAUCAUGGUCAUAGCUGUUUCCA